rnacentral:tRNA from 1 species
AUAGCUCAAUGGCACAGCACCUGCCUGGCAAGCACGAGGUCCUGAGUUCAAAUCCCAGU